AUCGCUCUCCGGGUGAUCGCUGUUACUGCCUUCGGGUGCGUAAUGGAGGAAAGUCCGGACACCGUAGGGCAACGCGCCUCGUGAAGAACGAGGGAUGCUGGGCUCAAGCCCAGUAGACGGACAGUGCAGCAGAGAGUAAACCGCCGAUGGAUCUCCGGAUCACAGGUAAGGGUGAAAGGGUGGUGUAAGAGACCACCGCUCAGUAGGUAACUACUGGGGCAAGGUAAACCCCGCGUGGUGCAAGACAUAACAGAGGAAGGGUGCCCACCCGACUAGAAUCCUUGGGUAUUAGUCGCACGACAGCUUCGGCUGCGUCUGGCUUCGGCCAGGAGAUAAAUGAUCACACAGAGCUACCUCGGUAGCUUGGACAGAAUCCGGCUUACAGGAGAGCGAUGGAA
rnacentral:RNase_P_RNA from 1 species